CCCUGGUUAGCUCAGUUAGUAGAGCGCUCCACCUGUAAUGGAGAGGUCCCGGGUUCGAUACCCGGACCAGGCG
rnacentral:tRNA from 1 species